UACGAAGGGUGCAAGCGUUACUCGGAAUUACUGGGCGUAAAGCGUGCGUAGGUGGUUUGUUAAGUCUGUUGUGAAAGCCCCGGGCUCAACCUGGGAAUGGCAAUGGAUACUGGCAAGCUAGAGUGCGGUAGAGGGUAGUGGAAUUCCCGGUGUAGCGGUGAAAUGCGUAGAUAUCGAGAGGAACACCUGCGGCGAAGGCGGGUUGCUGGGCGUGACACUGACGCUGACAGCGCGAAAGCUAGGGGAGCGAACAGG
rnacentral:rRNA from 1 species